rnacentral:rRNA from 1 species
CAAUAAGCGGAGGAAAAGAAACUAACAAGGAUUCCCCUAGUAGCGGCGAGCGAAGCGGGAAGAGCUCAAAUUUAUAAUCUGGCACCUUCGGUGUCCGAGUUGUAAUCUCUAGAAAUGUUUUCCGCGUUGGACCGCACACAAGUCUGUUGGAAUACAGCGGCAUAGUGGUGAGACCCCCGUAUAUGGUGCGGACGCCCAGCGCUUUGUGAUACAUUUUCGAAGAGUCGAGUUGUUUGGGAAUGCAGCUCAAAUUGGGUGGUAAAUUCCAUCUAAAGCUAAAUAUUGGCGAGAGACCGAUAGCGAACAAGUACCGUGAGGGAAAGAUGAAAAGCACUUUGGAAAGAGAGUUAACAGUACGUGAAAUUGUUGGAAGGGAAACGCUUGAAGUCAGACUUGCUUGCUGAGCAAUCGGUUUGCAGGCCAGCAUCAGUUUUCCGGGAUGGAUAAUGGUAGAGAGAAGGUAGCAGUUUCGGCUGUGUUAUAGCUCUCUGCUGGAUACAUCUUGGGGGACUGAGGAACGCAGUGUGCCUUUGGCGGGGGUUUCGACCUCUCACACUAGGAUGCUG